rnacentral:rRNA from 1 species
AGCGGCGGACGGGUGAGUAACACGUGGGCAACCUGCCUGUAAGACUGGGAUAACUUCGGGAAACCGGAGCUAAUACCGGAUAAUUCUUUUCUACUCAUGUAGGAAAGCUGAAAGACGGUUUCGGCUGUCACUACAGAUGGGCCCGCGGCGCAUUAGCUAGUUGGUGAGGUAACGGCUCACCAAGGCGACGAUGCGUAGCCGACCUGAGAGGGUGAUCGGCCACACUGGGACUGAGACACGGCCCAGACUCCUACGGGAGGCAGCAGUAGGGAAUCUUCCGCAAUGGACGAAAGUCUGACGGAGCAACGCCGCGUGAGUGAUGAAGGUUUUCGGAUCGUAAAACUCUGUUGUUAGGGAAGAACAAGUACGAGAGUAACUGCUCGUACCUUGACGGUACCUAACCAGAAAGCCACGGCUAACUACGUGCCAGCAGCCGCGGUAAUACGUAGGUGGCAAGCGUUGUCCGGAAUUAUUGGGCGUAAAGCGCGCGCAGGCGGUCUCUUAAGUCUGAUGUGAAAGCCCACGGCUCAACCGUGGAGGGUCAUUGGAAACUGGGAGACUUGAGUGCAGAAGAGAAGAGUGGAAUUCCACGUGUAGCGGUGAAAUGCGUAGAGAUGUGGAGGGACACCAGUGGCGAAGGCGACUCUUUGGUCUGUAACUGACGCUGAGGCGCGAAAGCGUGGGGAGCAAACAGGAUUAGAUACCCUGGUAGUCCACGCCGUAAACGAUGAGUGCUAAGUGUUAGAGGGUUUCCGCCCUUUAGUGCUGCAGCAAACGCAUUAAGCACUCCGCCUGGGGAGUACGGCCGCAAGGCUGAAACUCAAAGGAAUUGACGGGGACCGCACAAGCGGUGGAGCAUGUGGUUUAAUUCGAAGCAACGCGAAGAACCUUACCAGGUCUUGACAUCCUCUGACCAUCCUAGAGAUAGGACCUUCCUUCGGGGGACAGAGUGACAGGUGGUGCAUGGUUGUCGUCAGCUCGUGUCGUGAGAUGUUGGGUUAAGUCCCGCAACGAGCGCAACCCUUGUCCUUAGUUGCCAGCAUUCAGUUGGGCACUCUAAGGAGACUGCCGGUGACAAACCGGAGGAAGGUGGGGAUGACGUCAAAUCAUCAUGCCCCUUAUGACCUGGGCUACACACGUGCUACAAUGGAUGGUACAAAGGGCAGCGAAGCCGCGAGGUGGAGCCAAUCCCAUAAAACCAUUCUCAGUUCGGAUUGCAGGCUGCAACUCGCCUGCAUGAAGCCGGAAUCGCUAGUAAUCGCGGAUCAGCAUGCCGCGGUAAAUACGUUCCCGGGUCUUGUACACACCGCCCGUCACACCACGAGAGUUUGUAACA